UGGUAGAUGCACCCUGAUUCAAGCCCUGGAGGUUCGCCUUCGGGGUUUUUUCU
rnacentral:sRNA from 1 species